AACGCUGCUGACGUGGAGCCGACGCGGAGCAAGACGCCACGGCGGCCAUUUUGUGCGUACAACAAAGUCGCCGUCUCACCUAUUUAUUUCGUCGUGGUGCUUCGGACGGUCGCGUACCUACUCGUUUUUGAAAAGAAUUCAGAUCGUCCCGCCUGUGUUGGUGCCUAAAAGUCGAUUUGAUGUUUGUUUUCUUAUCCCUUGCGCAUCUGGCGUAAUACCGGUUUUCGCGUAGGGAACGAACGCAAACGGUUUGCUUCCCGUUUGGUACUACCUACCUACGUAAUAUUUACGAAUCAUGAAGUUGUAUUUGGGUACUUACCUGCGCGAAAACGAGCUUAAUGUAGUUGGAUAGUGAACUCACCGGUUCAGAAAACAGAGUUACGGACACGCACCUACAAAUAUUAUUUUAUAAAUUUAUCGAAAACAAAUCAACGACGGUAACACUCAAACACGACGUUGACUAUCAUAAUUUGGCUGCUCGAGAAGAAGUUGACCAUUGAACCGAAGACACCGACGACGUGCAUUUAUAGCUACUGUAUUGAAACGGAACAGUCAUACAAUAUUGAUGUCACCUAUGAAGAUUGUAAAGCAGUAUGUGAAGCUGUCUUCUUUAAACUACUGAUGCACAAUAACUUCCAUUUAAAGACAAAACCAUUGAGAGUGGAACCUUCAAAUAUUAUCAAGAUAAUUGUGUACAAUAUGAAUACCCAUCAAGUUUGUAACACGAAGACAGGGUCUUUGACUAUGAUGGCCGAUGUUGGGAAUUUGAAAUACGUGAAAAACCAAGCCAUACGGUAAAAUCUAUAAUAGAAUCAGUGAACAAUGAACUCCAUCCCUUUAAUGACUAACUUAACAACAGAUUAAAAGUACCAUUGGAGGUGAGAUUAGUAGCUGUCUGGAGUUUCGGUGAACUGGCUGAUCUGGAAAAUCCCUCUUGCCCUUGCUUGCCUUGGUAUGAUCUAAAAAUUAACAGAUGGCAGUUUGGACCGGAAAUUAUAACACACUAAUAGAGCUGAUCUAGCUGUAUUAAAUGAUAAUUGUGUGGUAUUUUUAAAGCACUUCUUAAGUCUUCUGACAUUGUGUUAGAUUUAUCUACAAUAUCGCCUUAUUGGAAACCAUCAA